rnacentral:rRNA from 1 species
CAGUAGCCGCGGGAAUACGAAGGGGGCUAGCGUUGUUCGGAAUUACUGGGCGUAAAGGGUGCGUAGGCGGCUUGACAAGUCUUGUGUGAAAUCUAUGGGCUCAACCCAUAGUCUGCACGGGAAACUGUCGGGCUUGAGAAUGGGAGAGGUGAGUGGAAUUUCCGGUGUAGCGGUGAAAUGCGUAGAUAUCGGAAGGAACACCUGUGGCGAAAGCGGCUCACUGGACCAUUUCUGACGCUGAUGCACGAAAGCUAGGGGAGCAAACAGGAUUAGAUACCCGCGUAGUCCCUGUCUCUUAUAC